GUGCCUGACAAAAGAAAGGAACAAAAAUAUCUGUCUUCACAACAGAACCAAAGGAAACAGAAGGAGAGCAGAGAGGGCGAAAGAAAAGGAGUUUUAUAGCGAGCGAGAAAAAGGAAAAAGCAGACAGACACAAAGAGAGAGAUGAGAGGGGUCUCAUCAUUUCCCUUUCUUCUCUUCUUCCUUUCCUUUUCUCAUCAAUUCAUCGCAGGCUUUUCAGAUGAUUCUUCAAAUCCCAAAAAUGGAACAAAAACUGAUACUCAUGCUGCAUCCAGCAGUAACACUGGGUCAACGAUACUCAUUGUAUGCCUUGUCCUUGUGGUGAUAGUGCUUCUAUCUUUUUUCCUUUUCAAGUUUUGGCAAAAGAAGAAGCGGGAAGAGCAGUAUGCUCGUUUGCUAAAGUUGUUUGAAGAAGAUGAUGAGCUUGAGCUUGAGCUUGGUCUUCGGGAUUAAAUCUGUAUCAGAUGCUAACAAUCAAUGUACUGAGAUGCAAGUAAUAUCUUAAAUUCAGAUUGUUGGUUCAUUGAUCACAAUGGGUUGGAUGAUUCCAGAACCUUGGCAUAAUCAAGAGAAUUUUUAUUUCACAGUUGUAGAAAUAUGUAUCAGUAUUAGCAGAACCAAAAUUUUCAUGCAUUCUUUUUUUGGAGACAGAUCGAUGGAUGACAGAUAUUGCCAAAGGACUCCCUUCCGACUCAGCAAUGUAAUUCAUCCUUCACAUAUUCACUCUGUAAUGGUGUAGUAGGUAUUUGCAGCUUGUUAGAUGGCUUUGAAACAUGAGGUAUAUUUUUUCACAAAAGCUCAAAUGAGCUAAACUGUAUCUAAGUGUACACAUUUACUUUUGUACCCUCCGAUGUAAUGUUCGGCCUUCUCUUGUGUGUGAGUGGAAGAUGAUAUCUCUUCCCUUAAUAAGAAGUCCAUCCCUGUGACAUGCUACUAGUUAAGCAUUAAACAUCCAUGAAGUUUCUAAAUGUUUGGUCCGAAACAUAACUAUCCCUUGGUUCUGGACAGAACUUUCUUCA